AUUGAACGCUGGCGGCAGGCUUAGCACAUGCAAGUCGAGCGGUAACAGAGAGAAGCUUGCUUUUCUGCUGACGAGCGGCGGACGGGUGAGUAAUGCCUAGGAAUCUGCCUAGUAGUGGGGGAUAACUUGCCGAAAGGUAAGCUAAUACCGCUUACGUCCUACGGGAGAAAGGAGGGGACCUUCGGGCCUUUCGCUAUUAGAUGAGCCUAGGUCGGAUUAGUUAGUUGGUGAGGUAAUGGCUCACCAAGACCGCGAUCCGUAACUGGUCUGAGAGGAUGAUCAGUCACACUGGAACUGGGACACGGUCCAGACUCCUACGGGAGGCAGCAGUGGGGAAUAUUGGACAAUGGGGGGAACCCUGAUCCAGCCAUGCCGCGUGUGUGAAGAAGGUCUUAGGGUUGUAAAGCACUUUAAGUUGGGAGGAAGAGCAGUUAACUAAUAUUUGACUGUUUUGACGUUACCGACAGAAUAAGCACCGGCUAACUUCGUGCCAGCCGCCGCGGUAACAC
rnacentral:rRNA from 1 species